rnacentral:tRNA from 1 species
GUCUGAGUGGCUUAGUUGGUUAAGUGUCUGACUUCCACUCAGGUCAUGAUCUCACAGUUCGUGGGCUCAAGCCCCACAUCGAGCU